CUCAUCAGGUCAGCUUCUCAAAAUGAGGUUCCCUUCUCAGCUCCUGGGGCUGCUGAUGCUCUGGGUCCCAGGAUCCAGCGGGGUUAUCGUGCUGACACAGACCCCAUUGUCCCUGUCCGUCACCCCCGGAGAGCUGGCCUCCAUCUCCUGCAGGGACAGUCAGAGCCUUGUACACGAUAAUGGAAACACCUAUUUGCAUUGGUUCCGGCAGAAGCCAGGCCAGUCCCCACAGCUCCUCAUCUAUAAGGUUUCCAACCAUUUCACUGGGGUCCCAGACAGGUUCAGUGGCAGCGGGUCAGGGACAGAUUUCACCCUGACAAUCAGCAGGGUGGGAGCUGACGAUGUGGGAGUUUAUUACUGUCAGCAAAGUAUACAGUAUCCUCUCACAGUGGUUCAGGCCCAAACACAAACCUCUCAGUUUGGCGGUCCCCACUGGGCAUGUGUGUUGCCUGAGCUGGGAGCCCAGCAGAGGCUCUGA